rnacentral:snoRNA from 1 species
CAGUAUGAUGAAAAACAGGAGAUGCUGCACCAGAAUGGCCAGAGAAAGAAGUAGUAAAAGAUCGUCCAGUGCUGUCAGGCA